GAGGGUAUAGCUCAGGGGGUGGAGCGCGUGCUUAAUUAGCACACACAAGGUCCUGGGUUCAAUCCCCAGCACCUCCA
rnacentral:tRNA from 1 species